rnacentral:rRNA from 1 species
CCUACGGGUGGCAGCAGUGAGGAAUAUUGGUCAAUGGACGAGAGUCUGAACCAGCCAAGUAGCGUGAAGGAUGACUGCCCUAUGGGUUGUAAACUUCUUUUAUAAAGGAAUAAAACGAGGCACGUGUGCCUUUUUGCAUGUACUUUAUGAAUAAGGAUCGGCUAACUCCGGGCCAGCAGCCGCGGUAAUACGGAGGAUCCGAGCGUUAUCCGGAUUUAUUGGGUUUAACGGGAGCGUAGAUGGGUUGUUAAGUCAGUUGUGAAAGUUUGCGGCUCAACCGUAAAAUUGCAAUUGAUACUGGCAGUCUUGAGUACAGUUGAGGUAGGCGGAAUUCGUGGUGUAGCGGUGAAAUGCUUAGAUAUCACGAAGAACCCCGAUUGCGAAGGCAGCUUACUAAACUGUGACUGACAUUGAUGCUCGAAAGUGUGGGUAUCGAACAGGAUUAGAUACCCUGGUAGUC